CUCUGCUGCACGGGGCCGAAGCGCCGCGGGCGGCACGCGGAGCUCUGCGACACCGCCGCGCGGGGCGGGGAACGCCGGGGGUCGGAGCGCGUGGUGGAGCCGAGGGCGGCCCGAGAGCCGCGGGCAGAGGGAAAGAUGGCCUUUAAGGGUCCCCCGUCCGACUCCGGCCGUUCCGUCGUUCUGUGUCUGUCUCUGGGGAGAUCCCACCGCGCGGCAUCUCGGUUCCCCCGUGAAAAUCUGCUGCCUGCACGGAUCCUCUCCCUGGCCUUCAGUUCCCUUAGGAGGAGCAUGGAGCGUACCGCGUGGGGUCACACCGUGCCUGGGGGCCAUCGCCCAGGGUGAGCAGCUCAGGGAAAUGUGUGCCCCUGUCUGAGGGACAGUCACCCACUGGGGCAUGGGAUGUGUCCCCACGGCUGUGCUGGGUGCACGUCACACUGGUGGGUUAUGCUGUGUUGGGGGGCUUUUGUGACAUUUGCAAAAGUCCAGAGAAAUGAAGCCGUGUGUCCUCCCAGGAGUGCUGGAAGUGCUGGAAGGCUCAGUAUCCUCCCCAGCACCCAGCUGCGAGCGUAUUUUAGCGGCAGGUUGGGAUUCAUAGGAGCAUAGAAGCAUUCCAGUUGGAAAUGACCUCUAAUAUCCCCAACCCCGGCCCACCCCACCGUGCCCACUGCCCACAUCCCUCAGUGCCACAUCUCCACAUUCUGGAACACCUCCAGGUGACCCCACCACUCCUGGGCAGCUGUGCCACUGCAGCACUGCUCAUCUGGUGAAGAAAUGUUUUCUCAUAUCCAACCUGACCCUCCCCUGGCACUACUUGAGGCCAUCACCUCUCAUGCUAUUGCUGUUACUCAGGAGCAGAGGCUGACCCACACCUCACCACCACCUCCUGCCAG
rnacentral:lncRNA from 7 species